GAUCUUAAUAUAAGUUAGAGUUUAUAAAAAUAAGUUAAAUUUUAUUUUAAUUUUAUUUUAUAUUUUAUUGGGGUAAUAAUAAAAUUUAUAAAAUUUUUAUUUUUUAUAUUCAAUUAUAAUUGAUUUAAUUAGAUCCAUUAGUAUUGAUUAGAAGUUUAAGUUACCUUAGGGAUAACAGCGUAAUGAUUUUUGAGAGUUCAUAUCGAUAAAAUAGAUUGC
rnacentral:rRNA from 1 species